rnacentral:rRNA from 1 species
UACAGAGGUCUCAACCGUUGUUCGGAUUCAUUGGGCGUAAAGGGUGCGUAGGCGGCGGGGUAAGUCAGGUGUGAAAUCUCGGGGCUCAACCCCGAAACUGCACUUGAUACUGCCUUGCUUGAGUACUGGAGAGGAGAUUGGAAUUUACGGUGUAGCAGUGAAAUGCGUAGAUAUCGUAAGGAAGACCAGUGGCGAAGGCGAAUCUCUGGACAGUUACUGACACUGAGGCUCGAAGGCCAGGGGAGCAAACGGG